rnacentral:piRNA from 1 species
UGGGAAGGAGACUUGAACUUACUUCAGACA